CUCGACGCGACGUCACAGCUUCGCUUAAAGCGGAAAGGCUGCUGAACUUUCUGAUUUUUGUGCACCGGGUUUCUUCCUUUCCACGACUCCAAAAGUCUUCGCAGCCGUCAGCUUGACUGAAAACUCAGACAGCCUGAAGAGAGACCACCAUGCUCCGUUGCAGGAAGUGUCGUAAAGGCAUCAUAAACUCAACGUGUCUGUCAAUGGUUGAGGCCACAGACGAAAGCUCAGCUGCCGUUUGCAGUAUUUGGCACGUGAAUGUUGACGCCUUGCCAGAGUGGAUACUGACCUCAGUUCAUCAGGCUCAGUGGACUGCAGGAAAACUGAACUGCCAGCACUGCGGAGCUCGUUUGGGAGGCUUCAACUUUAUUAAAAGCAGUAAAUGUCCCUGCGGGCGGGACGCCACCGUCCACCUCAACAAGAGCCGCAUGGACCGUGACCACAAACACUACGUCCUCAUCGUCCAGCCGAGGAGGACGAGGCCUGAGAAGGAACGGGCCGGUCUGCUGACAGGUGGCUCUCAGAGCAGAGAGCAGAGGCCUGAACUUAACAGGACCGCGCUAGACAGUUUACAGCUCAACUGUGCUGCGGUCAUGUCACACAUAAGCGCUGCUGAGGCCUCUAACUCACUGUCAGACAGUGAAAACACACAGUCGUUUUCUUUUAGCCCUCUGCACUGCAUCUCUCAUCGGAGACGGUGCAGUUUGGAAGAAGAUUCCGCCAUCGGGUCGUCGAGUUUUUGUCCCGCAGGCCUGACGGUCAAGUCCGCCGUUGAGGGUGCAGAUACAGGAGCACGCGAGUCUCCAAAAUCACCCGUCUCGUAUCCCACGAGUCAGCAGUUUGACACGGAUGGUGAAGCCCCAGUCGACGCGGUCGCCUGCCGUUCGUUCAUUUCUGGAAGUACGUGGUCACCUCUGGAUCGGCAGCUGCUGCAAACUGUGGAGGACGUUGAGUCUUCUCCAGAGACCGCGGCCGUCCACGAGGAGGUUCCUGUUUCAGCCCUCUUCCCCAGAGGGAGGUCCAUCUCUCACAGUGUGGCCGAGCAGGACGAGGAAGUGGUGCCUUCAGGCUUCAUGGCCUCCACAGCCUCGACCAGACUGAGCAAAAAGGAGAAGAACCGCCUGAAGAGUCUUCGGAGGAAACAGAGGAGAGAGCGAUGGCUGCACAGCCAGCUGGAGCAGGCCGAGAGUGUGAGCGCCUCCCAGUUGUCCAGUGAGCAGGAGGACAGAGAGGGCCUCACCUGCGCCGUUUGUCUCGAGGUCUACUUCAGCCCGUACAGCUGUCAGCCCUGCGGUCACGUCUUCUGCGAGCCGUGUCUCCGCUCAAUCGCCAAGAACCGGCCCACACACACCCCCUGCCCUCUCUGCCGCACCCUCAUCUCACACACCACCUUCCACACAGAGCUCAACCAAACAGCCGAGACCUUCUUCCCGAAAGUAUACUCCGCCCGCAGGCAGAACUUCCAGAAGGCUUCGUGUGCAAAAUGGUCUCUGCCCAGCUGUCGCAAACGCUUCCGUACCUUCUGGGGUGAGAUAGAGUUUGUAAUCGUUGUGUCAGCGUUUUUCUUUUUCUUUUGUCGAGUAAGUGGUACUCAUCCUUUUUUGAUAGUGAAGUCCCCGGAUCAUGCUGAGCAACUAUGGUGCUGUUUCGGAGAAGAGGCGGUUCAGUUAGUGACCUUCUCCGUUUGACUGACCAUUCCAUCAGAAAUCAGUCCUACAUGUCAACUUCUGGUUUUCCCGUCCCAGUCCGGUCCAUUGUACCAGUUUAAUGCAAGCCUUCCUCAGCAACCUGUGCUGACGUCACUGCACUAAAUCCAACUUAGUACUGCAUUAGUAAUAAGCAAUAUGACAAUGUGGUUUACAUAAUAUUAUGUUUGUUUAUAAAUGCACUAAAGUGUCUGAACUCACUCUGAGUAAUUUGGAGCCACGCCUCAGUUGAAGUGGGAGGGAGCCAGAGGUACACGAUGUCUUUGUUUACUAGGAAGUUCAUGUGUUUUUUUUAGUGUGACGAGACAUGACAGGGUUGAGGACAAAGAAACGCCGCCCCUUUUAUUUUCUACGUACAACCGUCACACCGGGCACACCGGGCACAUUGGACAGCGAUGUGUUGCCGGGGUUCAAGGAUGUAGAAAAGAGAACAGAGGCAGGCGGCGGGGAGGCGCUGGCACUUCGUCCACGGAGGGUUCACGCUGGACACUUUGGACUUCACCGACAUUCGCGGCUGGCUCUUCGACAUCGGCCUGGUCA